CUUGUACUAAUUGAAGUUACCAUCUAACAAUGGUUUUCAAUAUUUAGAUAGAUCAAAUUAUUGCAAGGUAAUAUUCAAGAACUUAUGCAUAUGGUUAUCGCAUAAUUCAUCUCUUUGAUCCUCAAUACUCUAGGAUGGUCUAAGGUUAAACUGUCAACCCUGAAGGAUCAUCCAUAUUGUAUUCCAACUGUUCAAAUCCAUCACAUGAAUUACUCUAGCCA
rnacentral:lncRNA from 1 species